GGUGACUAGUGACAGAGUGAGGAAGGGGGUGACACAGUGACAGAGUGAGGGAGGGAGUGACAGUGACAGAGUGAAGGAGGUGGUGACUGUCACUAGUCACCGCAUCCCUCCCUCUGUCACUAAUCACCACCUCCCUCACUCUGUCACUAGUCACCCCUUCCCUCCCUCACUCUGUCACUAGUCACCCCCUCCCUCUCUCUGCCACUAGUCACAC